CAAGCGUUGUUCGGAGUUACUGGGCGUAAAGGGUGUGUAGGCGGUCUUCUAAGUCUGGUGUGAAAUCUCCCGGCUCAACUGGGAGGGUGCGCCGAAAACUGGAAGGCUAGAGUGCGGGAUGGGAGAGUGGAAUUCCUGGUGUAGCGGUGAAAUGCGUAGAUAUCAGGAGGAACACCUGUGGUGUAGACGGCUCUCUGGACCGCAACUGACGCUGAGACACGAAAGCGUGGGUAGCAAACAGGAUUAGAUACCCUGGUAGUCCACGCCCUAAACGAUGCAUAUUUGGUGUGGGCCAUUCAUUUGGUCCGUGCCGGAGCUAACGCGUUAAAUAUGCCGCCUGGGGAGUACGGUCGCAAGGCUG
rnacentral:rRNA from 1 species